rnacentral:rRNA from 1 species
UACGUAGGCGGAAUAUUAAGUCAGUAGUGAAAUCCUGCAGCUUAACUGUAGAACUGUUAUUGAUACUGGUUUUCUUGAAUAUAGUUGAGGUAGGCGGAAUGUGUAAUGUAGCGGUGAAAUGCUUAGAUAUUACACAGAACACCGAUUGCGAAGGCAGCUUACUAAGCUAUGAUUGACGCUGAUGUACGAAAGCGUGGGGAGCGAACAGGAUUAGAUACCCUGGUAGUCC